AGAGUGAUAUUUUUCUAACUUCAAUCGUUUUCUUUUUUACUCUAGAGAGAAUAGAAUCUCCCGUUUUCUAGAAACCCGAAAUAUUCUGGAUUGUUCGAUACGGUCCGCUACUACGUUCUCUGGACGCAAAAGAUUUUCCGAUCGGCAACCGGAGGCGGCAGAGAAUUUCAAUUGCCGUCGUUUAGCCGAACUGGUGCAACGCAUGGAGCGUAGUUAGGUGUUAUAAAGUUCAAUUCCCUUUGCCUAUCUAGGUGGUUCAAUCAUCAAUGGAUCAUUCCUAUCAAGUUAAUCACAGUUGUGCCCUAAAUCCUCCCAAAGACGGCCUCCCUAGCACCCAGUCUUCUAAUGAUGCACUUAGGCAGAUGGGAUCUGAAGGGAAAAUGGGAGCAGUUCAUGAAGAAAUGAAGAGAGUGAGUAGACUUCCACCAAGCAGUACAUAUGCAACUCAUCGGAUGCGCGUCCUUAACAAAAUCCUGCAACUUAUGUCCAUUCAGAGAACCACUUCACAGGAUGAGGAGUUGGAAUUGCUAUUUUCUGGGCUCUCUCUUGGAUGAUAAGAAGCAAAGAUCAUAUUUUCAGCCGUUGGUUUAUCAGAUACGCAGUGGAUCAUUUAUGUUGCUCACUUCGUCUUUGGUCUUCAGCUGCAUCUUCGCAAACCGUUUCUUUUUGAUGUAGAGAUGAUGCUUUGAUUAUUAAAUAAGUUAUACUGGUUAUAUAAUAGGUCUAGAAUUAAACCUGUUAUCUCAAUUAUGUGGUGGAUCAUCUGGCUGUCAAAGUUAGUUGAUUUCAACUUGAACUCUUGGAUUCCAGGUGAAUCAAUGCUCCACAGUACAAUAUUUUGAUGACUUUUUGGCUAAAGGAUCCUUCAAUUUACAG